GACGUAAAUGUGCUGGCACCCUCAGCUCAGAUUUCUCAGCCUCGAGAACUGGGAGAAAUACACGUCUGUUGUUCAUGCCUGCCCAAUUUGAGGUACGCUGGUGUAGCAGCCUGAACUGCCCAAGACAGCAUCUUUAUCAGUAUCAUGGGCAUGAGGUUCCAUGAGGUCCGUGAAAGUCAUGAGGUUCCUAAAGUCACUCCGGUGGCUGACAUCACUCAGGCUCCAGAGAGAUGCUUCUCCUGCCUUCUUUUCUUGAAACUGAAGACCACCUGUGAUCAAACUGAAGCCUUGAGGACUGCUGCUGUCAGUGUUGGGAAAACACCCUGCCUUAUGGUGUGAGGAGGAGUCGCAGAGCAGGAAAACCCGUGGUGUUGGAGAAGACUCUUGAGAGUCCCUUGCACAGCAAGGAGAUCCAACCAGUCCAUUCUGAAGAUCAGCCUUGGGAUUUCUUUGGAAGGAAUGAUGCUGAAGCUGAAACUCCAGUACUUUGGCCACCUCAUGGGAAGAGUUGACUCACUGGAAAAGACUCUGAUGCUGGAAGGGAUUGGGGGCAGGAGGAGAAGGGGACGACCGAGGAUGAGAUGGCUGGAUGGCAUCACGGACUCGAUGGACGUGAGUCUGAGUGGACUCCGGGAGAUGGUGAUGGACAGGGAGGCCUGGCGUGCUGUGAUUCAUGGGGUCGCGGAGAGUCAGACACAACUGAGUGACUGAACUGAACUGAACUGAACGUUGGAAUCAGGGGAAAAGAAAAAUAUUAAUGCUAUUUUCCCACCCUAGAGAGUUAAUAUAAUUAACUCUUGGUCAUUAGCUUGGUCAUUAGCAUAUUUUGAUAGUUCCCAGGUCACUCUCCUUAGUUGAAGUUUGGGCAUCACUAUUCUAGUUUAUGUUCUGAACAUACUUUUCUUCUAUAAUAUAAAGACCUCAUUGACUUUCCCAAUAUCUAUGUUGUGGUCUCAAUUUUUGAUUGCACACAUCUAUUAGUAAAAAAAAAAAAUUAAAACACACACAAAAUACCUGUGUGUAUAUAUACUACUUUAUUAAUAUAUUGUCUUUAUUACAAAACAGAAAAGCAGACAUUUAUGAAAGUAUGUUUGUCUCAGUU
ensembl:lncRNA